CCUACGGGUGGCAGCAGUAGGGAAUAUUGCUCAAUGGGGGAAACCCUGAAGCAGCAACGCCGCGUGGAGGAUGAAGGUUUUCGGAUUGUAAACUCCUUUUGUUAAAGAAGAUAAUGACGGUAUCUAACGAAUAAGCACCGGCCAACUCCGUGCCAGCAGCCGCGGUAAUACGGAGGGUGCAAGCGUUACUCGGAGUCACUGGGCGGAAAGAGCGCGUAGGCGGGUUAGCAAGUCAGAUGUGAAAUCCUAUGGCUUAACCAUAGAACUGCAUUUGAAACUGUUAUUCUAGAGUAUGGGAGAGGUAGGUGGAAUUCUUGGUGUAGGGGUAAAAUCCGUAGAGAUCAAGAGGAAUACUCAUUGCGAAGGCGACCUGCUAGAACAUAACUGACGCUGAUGCGCGAAAGCGUGGGGAGCAAACAGGAUUAGAUACCCGGGUAGUC
rnacentral:rRNA from 1 species